AGAGCAAUGGAUAGACAGCGCCCCGGGAGAAAUCCUGGGGGCCACCCGACUUCGGUUGGGUUUAGAGUCGUCAGGCCUCUCGGAGAAGCCUGGUCCAGACCUCCACCCUUGAAUAAAUUACCUUUGUUGCUUUGGCAGGGCGCCUCGCGCCAGCGGCUUCGGCUGUUGAGUACCUGCCAGAGGACCACAACUCUUGUUUUUAGUGAUGUCUGAGUACUAUAUAAUAGUUAAAACUUUCAACAACGGAUCUCUUGGUUCU
rnacentral:misc_RNA from 1 species